UACCAGCACCCCGAGUGGUCGGGACGUUUAUUGGGCCUAAAGCAUCCGUAGCCGGUUCUACAAGUCUUCCGUUAAAUCCACCUGCUUAACAGAUGGGCUGCGGAAGAUACUAUAGAGCUAGGAGGCGGGAGAGGCAAGCGGUACUCGAUGGGUAGGGGUAAAAUCCGUUGAUCCAUUGAAGACCACCAGUGGCGAAGGCGGCUUGCCAGAACGCGCUCGACGGUGAGGGAUGAGAGCUGGGGGAGCAAACCGG
rnacentral:rRNA from 1 species